rnacentral:rRNA from 1 species
GGGGAAUAUUGCGCAAUGGGGGAAACCCUGACGCAGCAACGCCGCGUGAAGGAAGACGGCCUUCGGGUUGUAAACUUCAACAAGCAGGGAAGAUAAUGACGGUACCUGACUGGAAGCCACGGCUAACUACGUGCCAGCAGCCGCGGUAAUACGUAGGUGGCAAGCGUUGUCCGGAUUUACUGGGUGUAAAGGGCGUGUAGGCGGGUGCUUAAGUCAGUGGUGAAAUACCGAAGCUCAACUUCGGGGCUGCCAUUGAAACUGGGCAUCUUGAGUGCAGGAGAGGAAAGCGGAAUUCCUAGUGUAGCGGUGAAAUGCGUAGAUAUUAGGAGGAACACCAGUGGCGAAGGCGGCUUUCUGGACUGUAACUGACGCUGAGGCGCGAAAGCGUGGGGAGCAAAC